rnacentral:lncRNA from 1 species
CUUGGAACAAUUUUUUGUGCACUUUCUCCUCUUUGUACACAUUUUCAUAAACUACUUCAUCUGAUAUCAAGUUAUGAGAGUAUUUUCAAAGAAAGAGCACUAUUGAUGUUACUCAUUACUCUGUUAAUCCUGGAUUAAUCAGCCUCAUUAAUGAGAAUUUGAGUUGAAGAUAGUUGUUUUCCACCUUUGUAGACCUUGAAUCAUUCAGAGACCCCCAUACGUCACAGAUGCCUGUGUCCCACCCUCCUGGUUUUUCUGUAAUCUGUGUAUAGGUGGGAAAAGAGGAAUUUUUAUAAGUCCUUAUACAUUUGGUUGGCAAGUAAAUAGAUCCUGUCCCUCCAGAGGUGUAAGUGCCACAAACUUCAGAUCCAUAAUAUGUGCAUGGGUAUAGGAUGAUCCUUCAAGUUAGUGGGACAAAGCGAUGCAAUUAAGAAACAAUUAAGAAAAAGGACACUUGCAUUUCCUUCCAGAAUUAACACUCCUCAAAUUUCUUCUCUAUCCAGUAGACAAAGGGGCAAGAAAUAUUGCCAUCUUAUCUAUAUCUCAACCGUUUCUCUACAAACUUUCCCAAACACUGUAUCAGUGUGUCUCAAAUUUUAGCAUUUCACAAUAAUCACCUGGAGAUUAAUAAAGGAUGUAGGGGUUCCAGCUCACUAUAUAAGUAAGGGCCUAGGUUCUACAUUUACCCCAAGUGCCGCAGAUGAUUCUGAUACCAAUCUUUGAGAAUCAGUGUACUAAGCUAUUUUCUUGAGAACUUUAAUUAGUACCAAUCUUAAGAGGAAUUUUAUGUGUAAUAUUCAUGCAUAGUUAUCUGUGACUCAGGCUCAAUUUUGUAGAGAUUUCUUGAGCUAUUAUCCUUUUACUUGAGUUGAUUUUUUUCCAUCCUUUUGGAAUGCAUUAUGCAUACCAAACAGUAAGCACAAUCUAAAGUAUAACAAUAUGGACUGAUAUUUCAUAAGUACCUGAGAUUUUAAUCACAGAAUUUAUACUAACCUAAAUGUCUGGAGAUAUUCUGAUUGUCUAUUGUGUAGCAAAAUACUCCAAAAUUUAGUGACAUAAAUCAACAACCAUUUUAUUGUUCAUACAGAUCUUGUGGAUCAUGAAAUUGAAGGGCAGAACAGCAAUGGUUUGUUACUACUCCAUUAUGUUUGGGACCUCUCUAUGAGGACUUCACCUUAGGUGUCUGAAGUGAUGAUCGGUUGACAUCUUUUAGAGUAUUUUUCACUCAUGCAUCUGGUAUGUGAGCAGGGAGGAUGUGAAUUUCGAGCUCAGGUGAAACUGUUGACAAGAGUGCCUGCUCGGAGCCUGCUUAUGUGACAUUUGUUUCCUCACAGCAUGGCAGCCUCAGGGUAACUGAACAUCUCAUAUAGUGGAUCAGAGAUAUGGAAGCAAGUGGUUUAGUAAACAAGACACAGCUCCAUGGCAUUCUAUGACUUAGCCUUCGAAAUCACAUAGCAUUGGCUCUUCCAUUCAUUUCAUCUAUACUGGUUAAAACUUUCAGACCUUCAUCUCUUCAUGGAAGGAGUGCCAAAGUGGAUUUAAAAGCCUCCACAGAGGAAGAAGCAAUUUGUCAUGUGUAACCUGGAUGAAUGUUGGCUAAACUUCAGUAUAGGACUCUCUUACUUGUUUGAUAAAUUAAUAACCUCUCUUACUGUAAAUAAAACCAAAGCCUCACAUUUGAUCCAAUUCCAACUUAUAUAGUAUUAUUAGCAUUGUUCAGUUGAAUUUUAUUUCUAAGAUUUAACAUGGAUUUGAGUCUUGGUUGUAAGUUAUCCUAGUGAGCCAUAAUAAUAUUUUUCUGGUUACCUUUCUGCUAUUUGAAUGCACUGUUGUGUGAGCCCUUAUCUCAAUUCCAUCUUAUUAGCUGUACCAAAAUAUCUCCAAAAUUCUACAAACAUCACCCUUUCUAACAACAAAUCAUCCCAGGCUAAUCCUAUUUUCUUAUCCCAAGACCCAGUACCACCAACACUUGAGACACCUGUUAGUUCCUUUAAGGGAGAGAGUAUAAAGGUUGAACACAGACUCCAAGAACUAUAAACAAAAUGGCCUUUGGUAACAUAUUCAUUGGAUCAUAAAAGAAGGCCAUGAAAUUGUUGCCACAAUUUGUAGUGAAUAUGUGUAAAAUUCAGCUAUUGAUGUGUUAUGGUGUAUCCGGGGAAGUCUGUGAUGGUUGACACAGCCCUGAUUAGUGUAAAGUCAGAGAAGGCAUGUGAGAAUUAAAUGUGGGGACUCUGUAGUUUGAUUGGGAUGAUAUCAGGCCUGCUCUCAGUUCCAGAGUAAAAGUCUUUCAAAAUCCUCAGUGCAUGGCAAUGAUCUCAACGUCCACUUUUAUUCUUUCUCAAAUAUAAAAGCAUCUCAGUCAGUUAUUUGGUAAUGCUAACUUACCCAAACUGCUAGUCUUUCAUCUCCCUUUUCUUAUAUACAAUGAAUUCCUAUCAGAAUCAGAACAUCAUGCUACAUAUUGUCAAACCAAAAAUAUCAAUGUUAAGGUACAUUUGCUGAAAACAAAAUUAUGAAGCCCAAUCUCCUGUCACUUAAAUAGAAGACUCAUUGCUCUAAACCUAGCACAUGCUGGUUCUAUCAGUUAGUGGAAUUGACAUAUAGUCAAAGUACUCUGGAACCAGAUUAACUGGCUCAAGUCUAUCA